UAGAAAUGUUUUGAGAGACAAUUACUACCAAAGCUCAAAGCUGUGCUGUGAAUCCAAUAUAGGUAGUUUUUCAAUAUAU